rnacentral:rRNA from 11 species
UGGUGGCGAUAGCGAAGAGGUCACACCCGUUCCCAUGCCGAACACGGAAGUUAAGCUCUUCAGCGCCGAUGGUAGUCGGGGGUUUCCCCCUGUGAGAGUAGGACGCCGCCAAGCC